AACGAACGCUGGCGGCGUGCCUAACACAUGCAAGCCGAACGAGAAAGGGACUUCGGUCCUGAGUAAAGUGGCGCACGGGUGAGUAACACGUAGGUAACCUGCCUCUAAGAUUGGGAUAACCUGUCGAAAGACGAGCUAAUACCGAAUAAGACCACGGCUCCCUCGGGAGCAGAGGUCAAAGAUAGCCUCUACUUGUAAGCUAUCACUUAGAGAUGGGCCUGCGUACCAUUAGCUAGUUGGUGGGGUAACGGCCUACCAAGGCAAAGAUGGUUAGCUGGUCUGAGAGGAUGAGCAGCCACACUGGAACUGAGACACGGUCCAGACUCCUACGGGAGGCAGCAGUGGGGAAUAUUGCGCAAUGGGCGAAAGCCUGACGCAGCAACGCCGCGUGAGUGAUGAAGGCCUUCGGGUCGUAAAGCUCUGUCGGAGGGAACGAAUGCUCUUGAGGUUAACAGCCUCGGGAAGUGACGGUACCCUCCAAGGAAGCACCGGCUAACUCUGUGCCAGCAGCCGCGGUAAUAC
rnacentral:rRNA from 1 species